UACGGGAGGCAGCAGUAGGGAAUCUUCCACAAUGGGCGAAAGNCUGAUGGAGCAACGCCGCGUGAGUGAAGAAGGUUUUCGGAUCGUAAAACUCUGUUGUAAGGGAAGAACAAGUACAGUAGUAACUGGCUGUACCUUGACGGUACCUUAUUAGAAAGCCACGGCUAACUACGUGCCACC
rnacentral:rRNA from 1 species